CAGCAACAUUUUCUUAAGUUGCAGAUGAUGGAGAAAAAAAUUUUAAAGAAAAAAAGGGGGCAGGGGGAGGGAAGCCCAGAGUUUGGCCAAAUGCACUUUUUUCAAGUUCUUGCUUGAGCUUAGAUUUCCUUUCCGCUUUAAGGACAUGCCCUCCGGAAAGAAGGGUGUUUUGUUUCCAGCCAACACGGAACCAAACUUUUUUCAUCACGUGCCUGGCCCAAGCCAGUACGCAGCUCUGUAAUGAGAUCACCAUGGCCAACCUCCCACCCGAGCAAAAACAAGGUUAGCCGGCAGCACAGCGGCAGCACAGCGGCAGCAGCAGCCACCAAAGCGGGGGCUGAAAGGGAAGAGAACUUAGAUUUGACCUGUGCAAGGACCACAGAGGAGCCUGGACACAGCCCACUGCUGAGAACUGUUGAUUGGUUUCCGAAAAAUCUUGGUUCAUGUUUUUAAACCAACCAACAAGUAAUACUAAAGAGCAAACCAAACCAACUUGCUAGAACUACUCUUUGCGUUCUGAGUAAGUUCAUUUUUUUUCUCUUACAGCAACAGCUCUCUAAUAAAAGGGAGAAAUGAAGAGAGCAUAAAUAAGUUUUUCAAGAAAGCAUUAGAAUACAUUUUUGGCGGGGCGUAGUGGCUCAUGCCUGUAAUUCCAGCACUUUGGGAGGCCAAGGCAGAAGGAUAGCUUGAGUCCAGGAGUUCGAGACCAGCCUGCGUAACAUAGUGGGACCCUGCCUCUUAAAAAAGCAUUAUCAUACAUUUUUGUAGUUGGUAGACCUAGCAGCUCCCUCCCUUCCAUCACUCUUUUUCUUUUCUGGCAUUUUUCUAGCUAUUCUUGUACAUUUAUCUUUCCAUGUAAGUUUUCAAAUCAAUUUGUCUGGUUUCAGGAAGAACAACCAACCUAUUGUUUUUUUUGUUUUUUUUGUUUUUCAAAAAUCACUGCUAGCCAUACACUUUGAUUUUCUCCACUCCCUACUUCCUUAGAUGUUUAUGAAAAUAACUCCCCGGCUUG
rnacentral:lncRNA from 1 species